GUUAAAUGGCUGUCAACUGGAUAUUUUUUAUCAUAUUAAUUACAUGAUAUAAUAAUUAAUAUAUUCAAUUAAUCACAAUAAAAUUACAUAAUAUUUGGUGAGAAAAUGAAGCUCAUUUAAACAGUACAUGUGGAAAGCACAAAAAAUGAGUGAUUUUUUGCACUUAUUGAACAAAUUCAAAAUGACAAAAAGUUGUGUUUCUAAGGAAAGAUUAAGACAACAGCUGAAAUAACUUAAUCUGAAUGCAUAAUGUUGCCUUGAAUUUGUAGCUUUUCUCCAUUUUUUUUUUUUUUUUUUUUUAAAGUUCAAAUUAAGUGGCGUCUAAUAACUCUGCACACUUGUGAUCAUUUGUUUUGGAUACACUAUAAAGUAUUGGAUUUGUGAUUUGUGACUCAAUAAUAGACUCUGUGUUAAUUAUACACCCAGUUUUAGUCUCUAUUUUAAUAAUUUUACAGAUAAACCCUUCAAAUCUCAGUUUUUGCUGCAUCACUGGAGUACUGAUCUGGGCAGCAUGAUGAUCCUGUAGAUACACAGCUUGCAUAUAACUACAUUUGUGUCACGGGGUGACGAAAGAGAAGCGGAACUAAGUCCCGUUGGGAUUGUGUUCCCCCCGGGACGGUGUCGCGGUAACACCGGUCCACUUCCGGGUUGCGCCCGAUGUCACAAUAACAACGCUAAUGAUAGAUUGACAUCUGGUGUGGGGAGUUUGACGUGGCGAUCUGUGAGAGGAUUAUGGAGGCGGAGUAACCACAUAAAAAGAGAAGUGCAGAGACCAAAAAGGAGGUGAAUUUCUGGGACGUUUGGGCUGGCGUGUGGAGGUAUUCGAGGACUAUUGUGGGGUUUCGGCUAUCUGGCUGUGCAACAGUUAUAUCAGCGAUCGAGUGGAGAUAUUCGGGACAGAAAGAGUGUGAGUUCUGGAAAGCAAGUGGAGACCAGGCCGUGCCAUCCCUAUCGGAGGGAAGUUAAGAGAUCUGAUCUGGGACUUCGAUCAAUUGUAUACAUCUGGACUGGGAGUGAUAACGUUGUGAAGUGGACGGAGCCAUCGUUGGAUCGCAGGAUCCUCUGGGCUGAACGCCGCAUGUGAUGUCCCUAUGAAAGGAGGUGGACACAAGAAUUAUUCUUUUCCUGGUUACAACCGAAGCAUCUCCCAGCCGUAAGCCCCAUUACUUAUUCUAGAACACAUACUUACUGUUGGUUACUUACUCUGCGGUGCAGAUCGCAGGAUCCUCUGGGCUGAACGCCGCAUGUGAUGUCCCUAUGAAAAGAGAUUGCAGGAUCCUCUGGGCUGGACGCUGCAUGUGAUGUCCCUGUAAAAGGAGGUGGACACGAGAAUUAUUCCUUUUCCCGGUCUCGACCGAAACAUCCACGAGCUCUACUUACCCGGAUAUCCCCCCCUCAUUCCGGGACGGGUGACAGACUAUCCUGGCUCUUGCCGGCCCCGUACAGGCACGAACUGCCGACGACUCCACGCCUCCCCGGCGUCCGAGGUCUGGCUUCGUUCUGGUCGGGAGACACGGAAGGAACACUGAACUUUUAAAUUGCUUUUAACCAAAUAAAACCUUGUUCAAUUUUUUUUAUACUCUCGUCCGUCUGGUUCUUCUGGUACGCUCUCUGAGGUGAUCCUGGGUUUCAGGGGCGGGUGCAGUCCGGCUUGGCCCCCCCGACCUGUGACAUUUGCAUUGUCUUGAGAUUUGCAAUCUUGUUGAUGGUUUAAACAAGCAUUGUAUUUCAUGGAUAUAUUUCUGCUUAUCAAAGUCUUCAUGUUUAAAUAAAACACAAUUUUGCUUAAACUAAUCUAUAAGCUAAAUUAAAUUACAAUUCUUUUUUUACUUUAUAUUUUUUUU
ensembl:lncRNA